rnacentral:rRNA from 1 species
UACGAGGGGGGGCAAGCGUUUGUUCGGAAUUAUUGGGCGUAAAGGGCGCGUAGGCGGUGCGGUAAGUCACCUGUGAAAACUCUGGGCUCAACUCAGAGCCUGCAGGCGAAACUGCCGUGCUUGAGUGUGGGAGAGGUGCGUGGAAUUCCCGGUGUAGCGGUGAAAUGCGUAGAUAUCGGGGAGGAACACCUGUGGCGAAAAGCGGCGCACUGGACCACAACUGACGCUGAGGCGCGAAAGCUAGGGGGAGCAAACAGG